rnacentral:rRNA from 1 species
UGAGCAACCUGCCCUUGACUCCGGAAUAACAGCUGGAAACAGCUGCUAAUACCGGAUACGACCUCCGAUGGCAUCAUCUGGAGGUGGAAAGCUCCGACGGUCAAGGAUGGGCUCGCGGCCUAUCAGCUAGUUGGUGUGGGUAAUGGCCCACCAAGGCGACGACGGGUAGCCGGCCUGAGAGGGUGACCGGCCACACUGGGACUGAGACACGGCCCAGACUCCGUAGGGAG